rnacentral:rRNA from 1 species
GAUGAACGCUGACAGAAUGCUUAACACAUGCAAGUCGAUGGGGAAGUGGUGCUUGCACCAUGGCAACCAUGGCGGACGGGUGAGUAACGCGUAAGGGACUUACCUGCAGGACUGGGAUAACAGGGGGAAACUCCUGACAAGACCGGAUAAUGUCAUGGAGCUGCAUGGCUUUAUGAUGAAAGGAGACGCCUGCGGAGAGCCUUGCGUCCUAUUAGCUAGUUGGUGAGGUAAUGGCUCACCAAGGCGAAGAUAGGUAGCCGGCCUGAGAGGGUGGACGGCCACAAGGGGAAUGAGAUGCGGCCGUUACUCAUACGGGGCGCAGGAGGGGAGAAUAUUGGACAAUGGGGGCGCCCGUGAUCCAGCAAUUCUGUGUGCACGAAGAAGGUUUUCGGAUUGUAAAGUGCUUUCAGCAGGGAAGAAGUAAGUGACGGUACCUGCAGAAGAAGCGACGGCUAAAUACGUG